AUCUACUGUCUCUAGGUACAACCUCGAUCCC
rnacentral:piRNA from 1 species